CAACAAGACAUAUUUCUGACGUGCCAGUUAUUCUUCUGUCCAAGGUGCAACAUCAACUGAGUGACCUGCUGUUCCCAUAAUUGAUGAGCUAAAAAUGCAUGACACAGUUACUUUAUGACCUCAUCGCCAGCCACGCAACCGCCUCUCCUGUCCGCCUCACCAACCCUUGGCACCCGCGGUUUUGCCUUGCCACCGCCACUUUCCCCAACUCCCGUGUGAAACUGAAAAUAAAGUCCACCUUGCCCGCAACA